AUACGGAACUAAGAAACAGUAACUGAAUAACUGACGUAGGCGGUUUGUUUAUGGAAAUGAAAGAUAUAGAAAUAGAAAAGUUUCAAAAAGGAGAAAGCAAGGAUGAAGAGAAGUACAUUGAUGUGGUGAUUAAUAAGAACAUGAAGCUGGGACAGAAAGUGCUCAUUCCUGUAAAGCAGUUUCCUAAGUUCAACUUUGUGGGGAAACUUUUGGGUCCACGUGGCAAUUCUUUGAAGCGUUUACAAGAAGAAACCUUGACAAAAAUGUCCAUCCUUGGAAAAGGUUCCAUGAGAGACAAGGCUAAGGAAGAAGAGUUAAGGAAAAGUGGAGAAGCUAAGUACUUUCACCUCAACGAUGAUCUCCACGUUCUCAUCGAAGUGUUCGCUCCACCAGCAGAAGCUUAUGCCCGCAUGGGACAUGCUUUGGAAGAAAUAAAAAAGUUUCUUAUCCCUGACUAUAAUGAUGAGAUCAGGCAAGCACAGCUCCAGGAAUUAACAUACUUGAAUGGCGGAUCAGAAAAUGCAGAUGUUCCAGUAGUUCGAGGGAAGCCCACCUUGCGUACAAGGGGUGUGCCAACCCCAGCAAUAACCAGGGGAAGAGGAACAGUUACAGCCCGGCCAGUUGGAGUUGGGGUUCCACGAGGCACACCAACAACCAGAGGAGUCCUUUCAACCCGAGGGGCAGUGAGUCGGGGAAGAGGCCUUCUCACUCCAAGAGCAAGAGGUGUCCCCCCUACUGGGUACAGACCUCCACCACCACCCCCAACACAGGAGACAUAUGGAGAAUAUGACUAUGAUGAUGGAUAUGGCACUGCUUAUGAUGAACAGAGUUACGAUUCUUAUGAUAACAGCUACAGCACCCCAGCCCAAAGUGGCGCUGACUACUAUGAUUAUGGACACGGGCUCAGCGAGGAGACUUACGAUUCCUAUGGACAAGACGAGUGGACUAACUCAAGACACAAGGCACCUUCAGCGAGGACAGCGAAGGGCGUCUACAGGGACCAGCCAUAUGGCAGAUACUGAUUGUACUGUCUGAUGUUCUGAAAUAGCCAAUCUCCACCAUCCUGUAUACUGUUCAAAGUAAUUUUUUCUAUGAACAAUCCCUUUUUAAAUAAAUCAAAAUACUUAAAAUCUGAAUGGAUGGAACUUAAAACUACUUUGUUGAAACAUCAACCUGGUCAGGAAAAAAAGGACAUGUAAAAUUUUGUUAUUUCCAGUCUGUAUAUGAAAAAAUAGGUCAUCAAAAGGAGAAAAAUAACUUUGAUUAACUAGUGUUAAACAAAAAAUAGGUUUACUAAAUAUGUUAAUCCAUUCUUUUAAUAUAAGCCUCACUUUCAUUUUAAAGGUUUUCCAUAGAAUUUAGUUAUUUUAUCUUUCAGACAUAUGCUAGUUUUUUCUUUUUCUCUUGCCAACAUGCGUAAAAAGGGAAGCCAAUUACAAGUGCAAAUAAUGUGGUAUUCUUUUGUAACUCAAGUCUUGAAAUGUUCUGUAGUGUUAAGCAAAGUCUCCUCUUGCUUGAUACUAAAUAAACUUUUGAAAGAAAUUUCGUGUGUGUGAGCUAACAGUUUCAUGUUUUGCUUAUUUAAAAAGGCCUUCAUAAAUAGUCGUAAACAGGGAAAGAAUUCCUUUAACAAUGCUUGUCAUAAAAGGGUCACACUAAAUAUUGUACAAGUUAUUUUAAAAGUGGUAUAAAAUUAAAUGUACCAUUCUAUGCUCACCGUAGAUUUAAAUGCUGUUUAAAGAGUCCAAAUGGUAUCAAGCUGCGUGAAUGACACGUUAAAACCACCACAGCCAAAUCUUGUUUAAAAACUGGUUUUAAAAUAACUACUGGAUUUUCUGGGAAAGAUGUGAUCAGUUUUCAUCGUGUUGAGCAUUUUUUCACUAGUGCAACUUUGGAUUUUUUAUGAGACUUUUGGUACCUUAAUGAACACCUCGCUCCAUGCUGGAAGCCAUAAGCACAAAGCUUUUAAAGACACUCUGACUUGCCCAAUUGAGGUCGUACUCGCCAAGGCUGAGGAUGUGUAACCCUUAAACGGUCUUCAUUUUCAAAGGAAAUGUCUGGGAUGGCAGAGGAUCUGGUUGUGACGGAGUGAAGCCAGGAGCCCUGCUUCUGUUCAUGGACUGCUGAAGAAUAGCUCACCCUUGUGCCUAGUCAGUAAAUGAAUCUACAUGAGAACUUGAAAGUCAUCUUGACGUAUUAUUAUUAUUUUUGCAUAAAUUUUUGUUUGGUGAAAUGUUUUUAUGAAAUAGUACGCUUUUAAUUUAGAAGGCCUGUUUUAAAAAGAAAAUCAGUCUUAUUUUAUGGUCUCCUAAUAACAAAAAAGAAUGAUUUGUAGAAUCAUUAAUAAAG